rnacentral:rRNA from 1 species
UACGUAGGGGCUAGCGUUGUCCGGAUUAUUGGGCGUAAAGAGCGUGUAGGCGGCCAGGUAGGUCUGCUGUGAAAACUCGAGGCUCAACCUCGAGACGUCGGCGGAAACCAUCUGGCUAGAGUCCGGAAGAGGAGAGUGGAAUUCCGUGGUGUAUGCGGUGAAAUGCGCAGACUAUCAGGAAGAACACCCGUGGCGAAGGCGGCUCUCUGGACGGUACUGACGCUGAGACGCGAAGCGUGGGGAGCGAACAGG